rnacentral:rRNA from 1 species
UACGGAGGGUGCGAGCGUUAUCCGGAAUUACUGGGUUUAAAGGGUGCGUAGGCGGCUUUGUAAGUCAGGAGUGAAAGUUUGCAGCUCAACUGUAAAAUUGCUUCUGAUACUGCAGAGCUGGAAUCAGGAUGAGGUCAGCGGAAUGUGGCAUGUAGCGGUGAAAUGCAUAGAUAUGCCAUAGAACACCAAUUGCGAAGGCAGCUGGCUAGACCUGUAUUGACGCUGAGGCACGAAAGCGUGGGGAGCGAACAGG